AACGAGUUAUCUGAACCUUCGGGGAACGAUAACGGCGUCGAGCGGCGGACGGGUGAGUAAGCCUAGGAAAUUGCCCUGAUGUGGGGGAUAACCAUUGGAAACGAUGGCUAAUACCGCAUGAUGCCUACGGCCAAAGAGGGGGACCUUCGGGCCUCUCGCGUCAGGAUAUGCCUAGGUGGGAUUAGCUAGUUGGUGAGGUAAGGGCUCACCAAGGCGACGAUCCCUAGCUGGUCUGAGGGAUGAUCAGCCACACUGGAACUGAGACACGGUCCAGACUCCUACGGGAGGCAGCAGUGGGGAAUAUUGCACAAUGGGCGCAAGCCUGAUGCAGCCAUGCCGCGUGUAUGAAGAAGGCCUUCGGGUUGUAAAGUACUUUCAGUCGUGAGGAAGGCGKUGUCGUUAAUAGCGGCAUUGUUUGACGUUAGCCAGAAGAAGCACCGGCUAACUCCGUGCCAGCAGCCGCGGUAAUACGGAGGGUGCGAGCGUUAAUCGGAAUUACUGGGCGUAAAGCGCAUGCAGGUGGUUUGUUAAGUCAGAUGUGAAAGCCCGGGGCUCACCUCGGAAUAGCAUUUGAAACUGGCAGACUAGAGUACUGUAGAGGGGGGUAGAAUUUCAGGUGUAGCGGUGAAAUGCGUAGAGAUCUGAAGGAAUACCGGUGGCGAAGGCGGCCCCCUGGACAGAUACUGACACUCAGUGCGAAAGCGUGGGGAGCAAACAGGAUUAGAUACCCUGGUAGUCCACGCGUAAACGAUGUCUACUUGGAGGUUGUGGCCUUGAGCCGUGGCUUUCGGAGCUAACGCGUUAAGUAGACCGCCUGGGGAGUACGGUCGCAAGAUUAAAACUCAAAUGAAUUGACGGGGGCCCGCACAAGCGGUGGAGCAUGUGGUUUAAUUCGAUGCAACGCGAAGAACCUUACCUACUCUUGACAUCCAGAGAACUUUCCAGAGAUGGAUUGGUGCCUUCGGGAACUCUGAGACAGGUGCUGCAUGGCUGUCGUCAGCUCGUGUUGUGAAAUGUUGGGUUAAGUCCCGCAACGAGCGCAACCCUUAUCCUUGUUUGCCAGCGAGUAAUGUCGGGAACUCCAGGGAGACUGCCGGUGAUAAACCGGAGGAAGGUGGGGACGACGUCAAGUCAUCAUGGCCCUUACGAGUAGGGCUACACACGUGCUACAAGGCGCAUACAGAGGGCGGCCAACUUGCGAAAGUGAGCGAAUCCCAAAAAGUGCGUCGUAGUCCGGAUUGGAGUCUGCAACUCGACUCCAUGAAGUCGGAAUCGCUAGUAAUCGUGGAUCAGAAUGCCACGGUGAAUACGUUCCCGGGCCUUGUACACACCGCCCGUCACACCAUGGGAGUGGGCUGCAAAAGAAGUAGGUAGUUUAACCUUCGGGGGGACGCUUACCACU
rnacentral:rRNA from 2 species